CCUACGGGAGGCAGCAGUAGGGAAUCUUUCACAAUGGGCGAAAGCCUGAUGGAGCAACGCCGCGUGCAGGAUGAAGGCCUUCGGGUUGUAAACUGCUUUUAUAAGCGAGAAAUAUGAUGGUAACUUAUGAAUAAGGAUCGGCUAACUACGUGCCAGCAGCCGCGGUCAUACGUAGGAUCCGAGCAUUAUCCGGAGUGACUGGGGGUAAAGAGUUGCGUAGGUGGGAAAAUAAGUAGCUAGUGAAAACUGGUGGCUCAACCAUUCAGACUAUUAUCAAAACUGUUAAGCUCGAGAGUGUGAGGGGUAACUGGAAUUUCUAGUGUAGGAGUGAAAUCCGUAGAUAUUAGAAGGAACACCAAUAGCGUAGGCAGGUUACUGGGACGGUUCUGACACUAAGGCACGAAAGCGUAGGGAGCAAACGGGAUUAGAUACCCGUGUAGUC
rnacentral:rRNA from 1 species